GAUGAACGCUGGCGGCGUGCCUAAUACAUGCAAGUCGAGCGAACAGAUAAGGAGCUUGCUCCUUUGACGUUAGCGGCGGACGGGUGAGUAACACGUGGGUAACCUACCUAUAAGACUGGGAUAACUUCGUGAAACCGGAGCUAAUACCGGAUAAUAUUUCGAACCGCAUGGUUCGAUAGUGAAAGAUGGUUUUGCUAUCACUUAUAGAUGGACCCGCGCCGGAUUAGCUAUUUGGUAAGGUAACGGCUUACCAAGGCUACGAUACGUAGCUGACCUGAGAGGAUGUACGGCCACACUGGAAAUGAGACACGGUCCAGACUCCUACGGGAGGCAGCAGUAGGGAAUCUUCCGCAAUGGGCGAAAGCCUAACGGAGCAACGCCGCGUGAGUGAUGAGGGUCUUCGGAUCGUAAAACUCUGUUAUUAGGGAAGAACAUAAGUGUAAGUAACUGUGCACGUCUUGACGGUACCUAAUCAGAAAGCCACGGCUAACUACGUG
rnacentral:rRNA from 1 species